GGCGGCGUGCCUAACACAUGCAAGUCGUACGGAAAGUUGGCUUGGCCGAUGAGUAAAGUGGCGCACGGGUGAGUAAUGCGUGGAUAAUCUGCCCUUUAAGUUGGGAAUAACGUACCGAAAGGUGCGCUAAUACCUGAUAAUACUGCAUAACUACUGUUGUGUAGUCAAAGAAGGCCUCUGUUUACAAGCUUUGCUGAAGGAUGAGUCCGCGUACCAUUAGCUGGUUGGUGGGGUAAUGGCCUACCAAGGCUACGAUGGUUAGCUGGUCUGAGAGGAUGAUCAGCCACACUGGAACUGAGACACGGUCCAGACUCCUACGGGAGGCAGCAGUGAGGAAUAUUGCGCAAUGGGGGCAACCCUGACGCAGCAACGCCGCGUGAGUGAGGAAGGUUUUCGGACCGUAAAGCUCUGUCGAGCGGGAAGAAAUGUAUCAUGGCUAAUAUCCAUGAUACUUGACGGUACCGCUAAAGGAAGCACCGGCUAACUCCGUG
rnacentral:rRNA from 1 species